CCUACGGGGCGCAGCAGUGAGGAAUAUUGGUCAAUGGGCGGGAGCCUGAACCAGCCAAGCCGCGUGAAGGAAGAAGGCGCCAAGCGUCGUAAACUUCUUUUGUCGGGGAACAAAGGGCGCCACGUGUGGCGUUGUGAGUGUACCCGAAGAAAAAGCAUCGGCUAACUCCGUGCCAGCAGCCGCGGUAAUACGUAGGUGGCAAGCGUUGUCCGGAUUUAUUGGGCGUAAAGCGAGUGCAGGCGGUUCAAUAAGGCUGAU
rnacentral:rRNA from 1 species